GGCAGGGGUGAGGCAAAGGCGGGGCAGGCGCAGGGCAGCAAGGGCGCUCUCAUAGGAACAGCAGGGGAAGCAGAAGGGAGUGUGGUGUAGGAACCCUUGGGAAAUCCUACAGGAACCAUUGAGGGCCAAGGACACAACCCUGGGGUACCUUCGUCACUAGGAAUAAGGUGCGCAAUGGUGUGAUGGUGUGCCAGAUUCCUUUCACUGAUUGCGCAGAUGUCUGAGUGAAUAUCCAAGUGAAUUGCUACCCCGCGUGUCUGAUCUUCUUACGAGUUUCAGCGUAGCGGCGACAUUUGGCUAACAUAUUUUCCAGCAGCUGUUAACUUGGAGUAUGUGCGAAGGAGCGACUCUGAGGUAGCUGGCAGGUAACUCAGCCUUUCCCGGUAGCGCCACACAACACCUGCAAGUUACGUGUUCGCUGGCAAAUAUUAAUAAAAGGGCAUAAAUUUGAUGGUUUUAGUGCCCGUGUGUGGAAGAUGGGUGGUUAUUAUUCAUGUUUGUGCAGUUUAUACAUCGUGAUAAAGUUUUCGUUUUUAUCUCUCGUGUCUGUGGUUUAUUGGUGUUUUUUUAGUCACGGUUCCCCAUUGACUGUGUCCCCACGUGAGUCAGUCCUGUGUUAGUCAUCUCAGUCGUCGAAGUUUCUCACGAGUUAUACGGAAAAUUCAGUGUUUUUUAUGCUUCCUCAUUGAUCAUUUUUGGUGUUUUUUUCCUUAUUUGUUGUGCUAUCAUGUGU